AUUGAACGCUGGCGGCGUGCCUAAUACAUGCAAGUCGAACGGAGUGGCGCACGGACGGGUAAUGUAUAUCUAAUCUGCCCUACACUAGAGGAGAACAGUUGGUAACGACUGUUAAUACUCUAUAGUUUCGGAUGUGGCUAUAUUGUAUCAGCUAGUUGGUGAGGUAAUGGCUCACCAAGGCUAUGACGCAUAACUGGUCUGUGGGGAUGAUCAGUCAAACGGGAACGGAGGCACGGGCCAGGAUCCUACGGGAAGGAGCAGUAGGGAAUAGUACUCAAGGGGGGAAACCGUGAAGCAGCAACGGCGCGUGGAGGAUGACACUUGGCGAGGAGUAUACUCCUGUUGAUAGCGAAACGGUACCUAAAGAAGAAGCACCGGCUAACUCCGUGCCAGCAGCCGCGGUAAUAC
rnacentral:rRNA from 1 species